rnacentral:rRNA from 1 species
GACUGCCAGUGAUAAACUGGAGGAAGGUGGGGAUGACGUCAAGUCAUCAUGGCCCUUACGACCAGGGCUACACACGUGCUACAAUGGCGCAUACAAAGAGAAGCGACCUCGCGAGAGCAAGCGGACCUCAUAAAGUGCGUCGUAGUCCGGAUUGGAGUCUGCAACUCGACUCCAUGAAGUCGGAAUCGCUAGUAAUCGUGGAUCAGAAUGCCACGGUGAAUACGUUCCCGGGCCUUGUACACACCGCCCGUCACACCAUGGGAGUGGGUUGCAAAAGAAGUAGGUAGCUUAACCUUCGGGAGGGCGCUUACCACUUUGUGAUUCAUGACUGGGGUGAAGUCGUAACAAGGUAACCGUAGGGGAACCUGCGGUUGGAUCACCUCCUUACCUUAAAGAA